CUACGGGGGGCACCAGUGAGGAAUUUUGCGCAAUGGGCGAAAGCCUGACGCAGCAACGCCGCGUGAGUGAUGAAGGCCUUCGGGUCGUAAAGCUCUGUCAAGUGGGAAGAACCUAUGUAAUGUUAAUAUCAUUAUAUACUGACGGUACCACUGAAGGAAGCACCGGCUAACUCCGUGCCAGCAGCCGCGGUAAUACGGGGGGUGCAAGCGUGAUUCGGAAUCAUUGGGCGUAAAGGGCACGUAGGCGGCCUGGUAAGUCAGAUGUGAAAGCCCGGGGCUUAACCCCGGAAGUGCAUUUGAUACUGUCAGGCUUGAGUAUGGGAGAGGGAAGUGGAAUUCCUGGUGUAGAGGUGAAAUUCGUAGAUAUCAGGAGGAACACCGGUGGCGAAGGCGACUUCCUGGACCAAUACUGACGCUGAGGUGCGAAGGCGUGGGUAGCAAACAGGAUUAGAUACCCUAGUAGUC
rnacentral:rRNA from 1 species